UACGUAGGGUGCGAGCGUUGUCCGGAAUUAUUGGGCGUAAAGGGCUCGUAGGCGGUCUGUCGCGUCGAAAGUGAAAACUCGGGGCUUAACCCCGGGCCUGCAGUGGGUACGGGCAGACUAGAGUGCGGUAGGGGAGACUGGAAUUCCUGGUGUAGCGGUGAAAUGCGCAGAUAUCAGGAGGAACACCGGUGGCGAAGGCGGGUCUCUGGGCCGUAACUGACGCUGAGGAGCGAAAGCGUGGGGAGCGAACAGG
rnacentral:rRNA from 1 species